UCUCUCUCCUUCUGCAUGUGGCAGCUGUGGAUGCAUCGGACUUCUCAGGCACUUCAUUCCCUAAAGUCUUUGCGGUUUUUGUUGUUAAACGAGGGCUGCGCAGCUGCUGUUUUUGAAUGCACUCUUUUGACAUGAUGGUCAUUAUUCAUAUUCCUCUACGAGACGGCAGGAUCACGACACCUCUGUGGAGUGAAAGUCAACCGCAGAAAAAGUGAGAGUUAUGAUUGCAGCAAUGCUUUGAUGGUGCAGUAUGAAGAGAUCUGGUGUGUGCAGAGAUGGUCAGGAGCUUGUUUCGAGGACGAGGGCUUGUUGGGCCGGACGCUUCUCAUGUAGGCGUCAUGUUUAUACAGAUUGCGCUCACGGAAAUUCAGCGAUUUCUCAGAAAAGUUCUUUGGAAAGUUGAGGUUCUCUAAGUGCCUUGAACCCACUACUAUAAAUUGUUUGUUCAAUAAGACAUGGCGUAGGUGAAUAAAAGUCACCAAUUA